CUUUGUUUAUCUCUUUGCUGGGAGAAGCUCAACUCAGUGGCAGGGCAGAAGAAACUUCAUUGCUGCCUGAAGAAUUAUUUCUACUUAUGUGAAACCUAAUGAAAUGCUCGACUCCCUCCUGACUUUCUCUUUGAAUGGGGUUGAUCUCCAUCUAAGUUCACUGCAAUAUGUCCUUUUGAGACAUUUGUCCUUGCUGAGACUACAGCUGUGCAUGCCCCAUGCAGACCCACCACCGCAGAUGUUUCCUCAGGAGAAAAAGAAGUCAGCUACCCAGGAAGGGUGA
rnacentral:lncRNA from 1 species